rnacentral:lncRNA from 1 species
AAAUUUAUGAGGUCUGAAAACCCACUUUUGACAGUCUCCCAUGUCUAGAUAUGUUGCUACUUUUGUAUACAUAAUUAAUUUCAAUGUUAUUAACUUUGUUAGUACGAUCCACUUUAUACUUACAUUUCCAAGACCAUAACAAUGUUGGCUUUUUCUUCAAAGGCAUCUACACAUUGCACGAGCUUUGGGUGAUGCAGACAGUUCAUGAUGCUGAUUUCAUCCCUUAUGUUCUCUUUUUCCUUUGCAGAAUAUGCUUUGAAAAAUUUUCCUGCCCACACUUUUCCAGUCUUCUUUUCAACAAGCCUAAAGACUUGUCCAAAUUUCCCCGAUCCCAGUCUUUCUUCAAUAUUAUAGACAUCUGAAACUUUCUGUUCGGUGUUGAUAGUAACUGUCCGAUAGUUGACCUCUGUUUCUUUGCCUUCAUCGUCAGACAGCUCUGCUUCCUCCUCUUUAAGUUCUUCUUCUUGUUUCU